AAACGCUAACGGUGUGCUUAACACAUGCAAGUCGAACGGGCGAUACAGGAGUGGCAACACCUCUGUAAAGCUAGUGGCGAACGGGUGAGUAACGCGUAGGCAAUCUGCCUUGGAGAUUGGGACAACCAUUCGAAAGAAUGGCUAAUACCAAAUACCUUGUAUUAAUCACAUGAUUUUUAUAUAAAGGGGGCUUCGGCUCUCGCUUCAAGAUGAGCCUGCGUCCUAUUAGCUUGUUGGUGAGGUAACGGCUCACCAAGGCAACGAUGGGUAGCCGGCCUGAGAAGGUGAUCGGCCACAUUGGGACUGAGAUACGGCCCAGACUCCUACGGGAGGCAGCAGUGGGGAAUAUUGCGCAAUGGGCGAAAGCCUGACGCAGCGACACCGUGUGAAGGAUGAAGGCCUUCGGGUCGUAAACUUCUGUCAAUUGGGGACGAAGGUGCUAGAGUUAAUACCUUCUAGCAUUGACGGUACCCAAUAAGGAAGUCUCGGCUAACUCCGUG
rnacentral:rRNA from 1 species